GAGAGGUGGGGGGGUCAGUACACACACACACUAGACUAGAGAGAGAGGUGGGGGGGUCAGUAAAUACACACACUAGACUAGAGAGAGAGAGGUGGGGGGGGUCAGUAAAUACACACACUAGACUAGAGAGAGAGGUGGGAGGUUCAGUACAUACUAGAGGUCGACCGAUUAAUUAGGGAUGAUUUCAAGUUUUCAUAACAAUCGGAAAUCGGUAUUUUUGGGCGCCGAUUUUAUAUACCUUUAUUUAACUAGGCAAGUCAGUUAAGAAGACAUUCUUAUUUU